rnacentral:sRNA from 1 species
UGUAUCGGAAGCCUGACGAGGAUGAGAACCUCCGGGGGCAAGAGGUUCGACCCGAGCGAAGCGAGAAAACGUUGCGUCAGCAACGGCCCGCAGGGCGAGUCAUCCUCUAUCACCGGCA